rnacentral:snoRNA from 1 species
UCCCGAUGAUGAAAACCCGUUGCGUCUUACCCUCUGUCCUGGCCCCAGAACCUGCAAAGGUUGAACCCACUGGGGCCAGCAGAGGGAGAGGAGGAAGCCUUUGCUCCUGAAGGAACAGUCUGAUGGGAC